GGUAUGGGGCUUGCCUAUACAUGCAGUCGAGCGAAUGGAUUAAGAGCUUGCUCUUAUGAAGUUAGCGGCGGACGGGUGAGUAACACGUGGGUAACCUGCCCAUAAGACUGGGAUAACUCCGGGAAACCGGGGCUAAUACCGGAUAACAUUUUGAACCGCAUGGUUCGAAAUUGAAAGGCGGCUUCGGCUGUCACUUAUGGAUGGACCCGCGUCGCAUUAGCUAGUUGGUGAGGUAACGGCUCACCAAGGCAACGAUGCGUAGCCGACCUGAGAGGGUGAUCGGCCACACUGGGACUGAGACACGGCCCAGACUCCUACGGGAGGCAGCAGUAGGGAAUCUUCCGCAAUGGACGAAAGUCUGACGGAGCAACGCCGCGUGAGUGAUGAAGGCUUUCGGGUCGUAAAACUCUGUUGUUAGGGAAGAACAAGUGCUAGUUGAAUAAGCUGGCACCUUGACGGUACCUAACCAGAAAGCCACGGCUAACUACGUGCCAAAAACA
rnacentral:rRNA from 1 species